rnacentral:rRNA from 1 species
GGGCUAGGGGUGAAAGGCCAAUCAAAUUCCGUGAUAGCUGGUUCUCUCCGAAAUGCAUUUGGGUGCAGCGUCGGGUCAUUACGUCCCGGGGGUAGAGCUACUGGAUGCUUGCGGGCCCGUAUCGGGUACCAACAGCAACCAAACUCCGAAUACCGGUGACGCGUAUCCCGGCAGUGAGUCGGCGGGGGAUAAGCUUCGUCGUCGAAAGGGAAACAGCCCAGACCGUCGUCUAAGGUCCCGAAGCGUGUGCUAAGUGGGAAAGGAUGUGGAGUCGCAUAGACAGCCAGGAGGUUGGCUCAGAAGCAGCCACCCUUGAAAGAGUGCGUAACAGCUCACUGGUCUAGUGGUUCCGCGCCGACAAUGUAGCGGGGCUCAAGCACACCACCGAAGACGCGGCAGUAUUUUGUACUGGGUAGGAGAGCGUCCCAUGAGGGGCGAAGCGGCCGUGUGAACGCGCCGUGGACUUCAUGGGAGUGAGAAUGCAGACAUGAGUAGCGAGAGACGGGUGAAGAUCCCGUCCGCUGGAUGACCAAGGGUUCCAGGGCCACGUUCAUCGUCCCUGGGUGAGUCGGGUCCUAAGGCGAGGCCGACAGGCGUAGUCGAAUGGAUGAACGGGUCGAUAUUCCCGUACCGGCUUUCAGCCGCCAAAACCGAGGCUUGGAGUACUAACCUCCGGGUCCGGGCUUACUGCUCCUUCGGGGGCGGGAUGCCCUGGCCUGUUGGGACCGAUCCUUGUAGUAGGUCAGCGCAGGAGUGACGCAGAAGGGUAGCCGGCCGCGGAGGUGGUCUUCCGUGGUCAAGCACGCAGGGCGUGGGACAGGCAAAUCCGUCCCGCAUGGGUCCGAGGUGCGAUGAUGGGGGCCUUAUGGCCCGAUAUCCGGUGAUCCCGGCUGCCGAGAAAAGCUUCGGCGUCAGGCUCAAAGCCGCCCGUACCCCAAACCGACACUGGUGGUCAGGUAGAGAAUACCAAAGCGAUCGAGCGAAUCCUGGUCAAGGAACUCGGCAAAUCACUCCCGUUCCUUCGGUUUAAGGGAGACCCCCGAUGGUGAACACACUUGCUGUGGGAGCUUUUGGGGGUGGCACAGACCAGGGGGUAGCGACUGUUUACCAAAAACACAGGUGCAUGCGAAGGCGCAAGCCGCUGUAUAUGCACUGACGCCUGCCCGGUGCCGGAAGGUUAAGAGGAUCCGUCAGCCUUCGGGUGAAGCGGUGAAUUCAAGCCCCGGUAAACGGCGGUGGUAACUAUAACCAUCCUAAGGUAGCGAAAUUCCUUGUCGGGUAAGUUCCGACCUGCACGAAUGGCGUAACGAUCUCCACACUGUCUCGGCCAGAGACUCGGUGAAAUUGCAGUCGCGGUGAAAAUUCCGUGUACCCGCAGAAAGACGGAAAGACCCUGUGCACCUUUACUAUAGCUUGACAUUGGAUUUUGGGCCUGCAUGUGUAGGAUAGGUGGGAGGCUGUGAACCCUGUACGCCAGUAUGGGGGGAGCCAUCCUUGAAAUACCACCCUUGCAUGUUUAAGAUCCUAACUUCUUCCGGUUAUCCCGGAGAAAGACAGUGUCUGGCGGGUAGUUUGACUGGGGCGGUCGCCUCCUAAAGUGUAACGGAGGCAUGCAAAGGUUCCCUCAGCCUGAUCGGAAACCAGGCGCUGAGUGCAAACGCAUAAGGGAGCUUGACUGUAAGAGAGACAUCUCGAACAGGAACGAAAGUUGGCGUUAGUGAUCCGGUGGUCCCGAAUGGAAGGGCCAUCGCUCAUUGGAUAAAAGGUACGCCGGGGAUAACAGGCUGAUCGCAUCCAAGAGUUCACAUCGACGAUGCGGUUUGGCACCUCGAUGUCGGCUCAUCACAUCCUGGGGCUGAAGCAGGUCCCAAGGGUACGGCUGUUCGCCGUUUAAAGUGGUACGCGAGCUGGGUUUAAAACGUCGUGAGACAGUUUGGUCCCUAUCUUCUGUGGGCGAAGGAGAAUUGAGAGGGCCUGUCCCUAGUACGAGAGGACCGGGAUGGACGCACCCCUGGUGAUCCUGUUGUCGCGCCAGCGGCAUAGCAGGGUAGCUAUGUGCGGAAGGGAUAACCGCUGAAAGCAUCUAAGCGGGAAGCCUGCCUCAAGAUAAGUUCUCCCCUCGAAAGAGCUGAAGGGCCCGGGUAGACUACCCGGUCGAUAGGCUGGAGGUGUAAGCGCGGCGACGUGCUCAGCUGACCAGUACUAAUAGCCCGAGCGGCUUAUUUUU